ACAUACUGGAGCAUGUGCCUUUGUUGUAUGUUGGAGCAUCAUUUGGGCUUAUGCCCAGGAAAGGUAUAUUUGGGUCCUCAGGUAGUGGAAUAUCUAAUAUUCCGAAGAAUCUGCAGACUGAUUUUCAGAGUGGUUUAUCAACUUGCACUCCCAGCAAUCAUGGAAGAGUGUUCCUCUUUAUUCACAUCCUUGCCAGAAUAUGCCAUCACCUGAGUUUUUUUAUCUUAGUCAUUCUGACUGGUGUGAAGUGGAGUCUCAGGGUUGUUUUGAUUUGCAUUUCCGUGAUGACUAAGGAUGUUGAACAUUUCUUUAGGUAC
rnacentral:lncRNA from 1 species